GAUGAAUGCUGGCGGCGUGCUUAACACAUGCAAGUCGAGCGGCAGCGCGAGUAGUUUACUACUUGGCGGCGAGCGGCGGACGGCUGAGUAACGCGUGGGAACAUGCCCCAAAGUGAGGAAUAACUGCCCGAAAGGGUAGCUAAUGCCGCAUAUGAUCUUCGGAUUAAAGGAUUUAUCCGCUUUGGGAGUGGCCUGCGUAC
rnacentral:rRNA from 1 species